rnacentral:rRNA from 1 species
UACGCAGGUGGCAAGCGUUGUCCGGAUUUACUGGGCGUAAAGAGCGCGCAGGCGGUCGUUCAAGUCGCGUGUGAAAGCCCCCGGCUCAACUGGGGAGGGUCACGCGAUACUGAUCGACUCGAAGGCAGGAGAGGGUAGUGGAAUUCCCGGUGUAGUGGUGAAAUGCGUAGAUAUCGGGAGGAACACCAGUGGCGAAGGCGACUACCUGGCCUGUUCUUGACGCUGAGGCGCGAAAGCUAGGGGAGCAAACGGG